rnacentral:lncRNA from 1 species
GUGGGCGUGGCUACGGGCAUUGGCCACGCCCCCAGAGAGGCGGGCUUGCGCCGGCGGGAUUGCCGUCGGGAGCCCCAGAGAAGGGCUAGGUGUUAGGGCCGGGUUGCAGCGCCCCUUGACUCUACUGCGAGGGUGAAAUAACGGAGGUUGGCGCGCCAGCGCACGGGUUGAAUAGGAGUUAUCCUUUACUGCAGCUGCAGUCGGCCCUCGCCCAGCGCCAGCCCCGCUGCAGAGCACUUGGCGGAGUCCGGCAGGAGGUCUCCCACGGAAAUGUUCCCUCCGCCAAAAUGAAGGAAAUGAAUCCGGAG